rnacentral:rRNA from 1 species
GACGAACGCUGGCGGCGGGCUUAACACAUGCAAGUCGAACGGAAAGGCCCUGCUAUUGUGGGGUGCCCGAGGGGCGAACGGGUGAGUAACACGUGAGUAACCUGCCCUUGACUUUGGGGUAACUUCAGGAAACUGGGGCUAAUACCGGAUAGGAGCUCCUGCUGCAUGGUGGGGGUUGGAAAUUUUCGGCGGUUGGGGAUGGACUCGCGGCUUAUCAGCUUGUUGGUGGGGGAGUGGUUUACCAAGGCUUUGACGGGUAGCCCGCCUGGGAGGGUGACCGGCGACCCUGGGCCUGCGGGACGGCCCAGUCUCCUACAUGAGGCAGCAGGCGGGAGUAUUGCACAGUGGGCCGACGCGUGAUAAGGCAACGCCCGGUGCGUGAUGCCGUCUUUCGGGUUAUGAACCGCUUUCGCUUGUGACGCAGCGUGAGUGACGGUACUGAGUAAAGAAGCACCGGCUAACUACGUG